CUUGUGGUCGCACAGUUUGUCUUUGAGUUCCAGCUCAAAUGCUGGUUGCCAUCUGCUGGAUCCCCAUGUGGUCUGCAUUGUGUUAUUCAGUCCUAAAAAUCUGGCUUUUUAAUGGAAGACAUUUUGAGAUGUCACAGUAAAGCACAGGUACGAAUAAUAAUGGCUGAAUUCCAUUUCGCAGCUUCAGUUCGCUUGCUCACUGUCCCACUGCCAUGGCUUACUGGGACACUUCAAUACAACAGAGACAUUGUUAAAGUCCUCCUCCACUCAAGAAUGUGUUCAUGUCUACUGAAUGUCUGACUUUGACUAUACUGAUUUGUUUCCAUGCAAAGUUUCUCACCAGAGAGGUGUUUUCACAUUCCUGUACUGAUGGGGGUGAUGCCUGUGCACUUCCCUAAAAUCUGAGCCUCAAACGUCAACACACAUAUCGAUGGUCGAUCAUAGGCUUUCCACGUUGAGAUGCAACGUGCAAGGUACCCUGAGUGCGUUGGUUGUUGACGUUCUGGGACGCUGUGUCUUCAGCCUGUUACAUGCAUUGUCGUCUUUCAAAAUACACUUUGGUUUUCACAGGAAAUGUACAGCUUGCAUACAGUCUCUUUCAAAGUAAACGCAAAAUGUCGGUACAACACAACAAAUUACAUCUUUUUUCCUUCAGCAACAAUCACGUGUGGUUACAUUUAGCCAACAUGCACAUGGUUGGGUUAAGGAAAAAAUAAUAACAGGGUUUGGUCUUACGGGAAGCGAACACCGGCCUCCCGGGUGAAAGUCAGUGGUUGUUGGACCCAUUCACCACACCUACUGCCCACCCUACUUGGACUUCCGCCAGCUUAACUUUCGUUGUUGUCCAACGUUUCCUCCUGAUUCCACCAGCCGCCAUUACCAGCUGCUUAUCAUGCCGAUGUGAAAGUAUGGCUUUUUCGUCUGUGUCUGGCGUCUGACGCUGUGAGUCCCUGCCCGAGUGCUGGUUUUCGUCGACUUAAAAGAGUGAGACCAGGUUGCAAACGUAUGCCCAUGGAUGUAUAAAGAGGCUUGGAUGCAGAGGUAGACUUUGAUAAUUUGUCGUUUGAAGAUAGAUUAAGGAAAUAAAACAAUAAUUGACAAAUGAAUCUGUUGAGAAUAUCCAAAGGUGUGUUUCUAUUUAGUGACCUGUCACAGUUUUUAGAGCAGGGAUAGUGCCAAGAUUACAAUUGUAAAACAAAAAGUUUCAAUAAAUCUGCCACAUAAUGUGUGUUUUGCAGAAAUGUAUGAUGACAUUUUUUCUGGUCACUAGGUUGGGCCAUGAAGCCCACAUUACUUGAUGUUGAAUUAGAUAACGUGCCCUCUUGGUCUGAUCUGACUGAUAACAUUAAAUCAAAAAUGUUACAAAGUUGGCUCACAGUUUGCAACAAAAGAGAGUCUACACAAACAAUUUAAGGUAAAAAGGUGAUUUAUUUAACUAAACCUACUUCAAAAUAAGAAGUAAAGCAUGUUGUCGUGUCGCGAGUGGCUGCAGUGUGUGUGUGUGUGUGUGUGUGUGUAUGUAAAACAGAACAAAUGAACCAAAGGCAAACCAAACUACACCAUGUUGGCCAUGUGGCAGCCAGCUGCUCAGUCAGAGGGAGAGAGAGAGCAGGCUGACAACUGAGGCCUUUUAUAAGGUAAGACCACACCCUCAGGUGUGGCCAGGAAGAUUGGACGGCCCGCCUCUUCCACCACAAGGAAGAGCUGUGAAGGAACAGACACAUUAGUAAGGCCGUCACAAAAAUAACUAACUAAAUGCCUUUGUAGUUACAUAUUAAGUUUCGAUACUCAAGCUGGGUUAAAAAAGUUUUUAAAAGUUUACAGUUUAACAUUUCGUUCAGGCAUGUCCAUCAAAUAUCCACCAUAUUUAUGUGUUCAGUGAAAAGACAAUCAACUCCUGCAUUAUGUGGGAUUGUUUGUUUUUAUUUGAUUUCAAAUAUCAAAACAAAAAGCCAAAAACUGAUGAUUAAGAAGUCCAACAGACAGUUUGUCGGCAUAUUUAAAUCACAUUUUCGAAAGUUUCCAGUUAGUGAUACAUUGACGUGAAUCCAAAGGCUGCUGCAUCUUCCCCUACAUCAGUGAUACUCAAUUUACGGCCCUGGUACACUGGUGUGUUGUUUUUAAAUGUGCUUAAUAAAUAGAUUUGAUAUUUGAAUUUGAUGUCCUCAAAUCCUAGAAACACCCCUGCAUACACCUGUCUAGUGCGGAGCCCCUGCGACCGGCCCGGGCCUCCUGUUAUUCUUUUUAAAUGUGGCUGCUGGGUAAAGCACAUUGAGUUUCCCCCCGUACACGAUAAAGCCUUAACAAUAAUUCUGGUUACAAGACAUUACAGAGAUUAAACAAUUGUUAUAAUGCUAAAAAA